UACAGAGGGUGCGAGCGUUAAUCGGAAUUACUGGGCGUAAAGCGUGCGUAGACGGCUAUCUAAGUCGGGUGUUAAACCCCAGGCCUCAACCUGGGACGCCACGUCGAUACUGCUGUGGCUAGAGUCCGGUAGGGGAGCGUGGAAUUCCUGGUGUAGCGGUGAAAUGCGCAGAUAUCAGGAGGAACACCAGCGGCGAAGGCGGCGCUCGUGGGCCGGAUACUGACACUGAGGAGCGAAAGCGUGGGGAGCGAACAGGAUAGAA
rnacentral:rRNA from 1 species